rnacentral:rRNA from 1 species
GCAGCAGUGGGGAAUAUUGGACAAUGGGCGAAAGCCUGAUCCAGCAAUGCCGCGUGAGUGAUAAAGGCCUUAGGGUUGUAAAGCUCUUUUACUAGGGAUGAUAAUGACAGUACCUAGAGAAUAAGCUCCGGCUAACUCCGUGCCGCAGCC